rnacentral:lncRNA from 1 species
CUCUCCUUGACUUCAUCCCUGCCCAAUUUCACAUAGAUUGUUUUUCUAUAUAGCAACAAAUGGGUUCUUUAAAAUUCUGUGUCAAAUAAUAUCAUUCAACUCACUACCAGAAAACUCCAGUGGUUUUACCACACCAGACUACCAUUUGUUUAAGAAGGUGUCAUUUCCUUGUUGUAUGUUUUAACUCCUUUGUCAAAAGUCAAUUGGCCGUAAGUAUGUGUUUUUAUUUCUGAGUUCUCUAUUUUAUUCCAUUGGUCUAUGUGUCUGUUUUUAAACCAAUACUAUGCUGUUUUAGUUAAUGUAGCCUUGUAGUACAAUUUGAAAUCAGAUAGUGCAACGUUUUCAGCUUUAUUUCUUUGGCUCAGGAUUGCUUUGGGUAUUUGGCUUUUGGUUGUUGUUUUUCCAUGAGAAUUUUAAGAUUAUUUCUUCUAUUUCUGUAACACAUCCAAUAUAUGCAUUACCUCACAUAAUUUUUUCUGGUGAGAACACUUGAAAUACACCCUUUUAGAAAUAUAUCUAUAAUAUAUUGUUAUUAACUGUAGUCAGCAUGAGGUCAAUAGAUUUCUUGAACUUGUUCAUCCUAACUGAAUUUUUUGUGUUCUUGCCCAGUGCUCUUUGACAGAAAUCCCAGAUCAUGAACAUACAUGAAAAUAUUCAUGGAGAAUUGUCUCCUACCAAAUUUUAUGGAAAACUCAUAUUUCAAAAAAAGACACGUCUAAGAAUGAGGUGUGUAAUUAAGAAUUUAAAUGAUAUUUGAUUUCUUUCUGUGAUUUUAUUUCAAUUAUCUCCUGAAAUAAAUAGAUUGUAGGGUUUAUAUAGAGGUUUAGUUUUAUUGGUGAGUGAGGAAAAAGGGACAAAGAAGUUCAGAUAAUUGGUACCAUAUAACUAUUUUUAUAGAUCAUGAAAUUUAGUCUAACUAUGGAGAAAAACAAAACAAAACAGAACCAUGUUAAUGGUAGUGAAAAAAAUGUGUUGGAAUAAAAAGAUAAGUCAUGGCCUUUGAGAUCCAAUGAUGAAAUUUGGUAGGGCAGCCUGUAAGAGUGCUCUCUGUCAGUUUUUCUGAUGAUAAAAUUUACAAUGUUAAUUUCACAGAAACUAUAAAAUGAGGAGAAAACAUAGUAAGAGGGUAACAAGCAAAAGUACAGACAAUUAAUACACAUGGUUGAGCCUAGAGUAGAAAUAACCAAUUAGUGAGUGCAUUUUACAGAGUGGAAAUGAUUGUAAACAGCCAAGGUAGUUGACACUUUUACAGAAGUUGAGGUAACCCAUAUGAAUUGUAUGGUGGAAUUUAUUGAGAUAAUAAUGAAAAACUAGUCCUCCAGGUACAAUUUUCAAGGCUUUUUUUUUUUUUUUCUGGGAGUGGCAGAUAAAAAAACAAACAAGCUAUCGAUUACCAAAUCAUGGUCUGUGUAAUGGUGGAGGUGGCUCAUAAGCAUGUUAAAGUAAUCUGCUUCGUCUUCAGAUUCUAGAGAAUAGUACCCUAUGAUAGAAUUAAUAUUUGGGAUUUAACUAAGGCUUGGUUGGACUUCUUUCCCAAGAUUUCUAAAUUCCCUUUGAGUUACAUUCUAUUUUUCCAGUUUCACAGAAGAAGAAAAAAGAUGCUUAAACCAUGUUUGAAUUGUAAGCAAUACCCCAAUGCUUAAAUCACAGUGAGCGGCUCAUCUUGCUUCUCUUGUUCUUUUAAUUGUGAUAUUAGAGUGUUGAUUUGAGAUAUUUCUAGCUUUGUGAUGUAGGCAUUUAGUGCUGUAAAUUUCCCUCUAAACACUGCUUUAGCUGUGUCUCAGAGAUUCUGGUACAUUGUCUCUUUGUUCUCAUUGAUUUCAAAGAACUUCUUGAUUUUUGUCUUAAUUUCAUUAUUUACCCAGGAAUCAUUCAGGAGCAGGUUGUUCAACUUCCAUGUAGAUGUGUGGUUUUGAAUGAGUUUCUUAAUCCUGAGUUC